CGUUUGGGGUCCUGGGUAGUCACACAGAUCCCGGACUAGCCCCCCAAAUGAAAGAGCCCCAAAGGGAGGCCCCCCCUCAAGUCUUGAGUCAGCUGCACACCGAAAGACACACAGAUGA
rnacentral:pre_miRNA from 14 species